rnacentral:lncRNA from 1 species
CUCAUCUGUAAGCUACUGUUGCUUGAAAUUCAUAAAGGCUAAAUAAUGUUUUUCAAAACAUUCUGUUAGAAAGUUAUUCAGCUUUGACAUAUAGAUAAUAACAAUAUCAAUAAACUGCAUGUAGUAUAGUAACUAAUAUGUAGGUAUUAUGAAUUUUUCAGAUAAAUUGCCAAAUAAUCCUCAUCAUCAAGAGCAAUGGAGACAGAUUUGACUAAGGUCACAGCUCAAGAUGAAUUUGGGAAACAGCAUUGACUUUUGGGGGCCAGGCCAAAUGGAUUUCUGUGUCUGUUGGAAUGGACUUAUUUUUGGAAAACACAAGAAGGUGACAUUAGAAGGCAGUAAGUGAAAAAAUUCCUUUUCCCUGUUUUAUUUCUCCUCCUAUGUGAAAAUAGAGGAAAUUGUGCUAAAAAUAAAUAUUUCAACUUCCCACUCA